rnacentral:rRNA from 1 species
AUUGAACGCUGGCGGCAGGCCUAACACAUGCAAGUCGAACGGUAGCACAGAGAGCUUGCUCUCGGGUGACGAGUGGCGGACGGGUGAGUAAUGUCUGGGAAACUGCCCGAUGGAGGGGGAUAACUACUGGAAACGGUAGCUAAUACCGCAUAACGUCGCAAGACCAAAGUGGGGGACCUUCGGGCCUCACACCAUCGGAUGUGCCCAGAUGGGAUUAGCUAGUAGGUGGGGUAAUGGCUCACCUAGGCGACGAUCCCUAGCUGGUCUGGGAGAAUGACCAGCCACACUGGAACUGAGACACGGUCCAGACUCCUACGGGAGGCAGCAGUGGGGAAUAUUGCACAAUGGGCGCAAGCCUGAUGCAGCCAUGCCGCGUGUAUGAAGAAGGCCUUCGGGUUGUAAAGUACUUUCAGCGGGGAGGAAGGCGGUGAAGUUAAUAACUUCACCGAUUGACGUUACCCGCAGAAGAAGCACCGGCUAACUCCGUGCCAGCAGCCGCCGCAG